UCACUGUCAGUCUGGAAAGUAAAAGCUGAGGACUCCAUGGGUUUUAUAGUUGAGAACUUUCCAACAUGGCUUACGCAGCAAACAGAAAUGUGAGGUUAAACCUGUUUGUAUCAUGGUUAUUGUUCAUAACCAGAAAUAUAUGAGAUACUCCUUCUAAUGAUUUUACUCCAGUAAGCCAAAACAAAUUAAAAUCGAUAUCUUCAUCAGAAAGUCUGUUUGUUUCAAAUAUGGAUGAAAUGUUUCACUUUAAAUUAGAGCCCUUUCUUCCAGCUUCAUAAAUAACACUGCUUUAUAUUCCAUUGGCAAGGAAAAUCUGGCUACAAGGCUGGCAAAGCUUUCCUUCCUGUUCCGAAGUGAAAAAACCUUACUCAGCUCAAGCCAAGGGUUUAUUGAGAGGAAGGGGAGGAUGCAGCUUUUAAAUAUAAACAGAAAUUGCCAGUUCUCAUGCUUCCUGGGAGUCUUGUAGAAAUCUGUGUUCAGAAAGUAAAUAUUCUGGUGCCAAGUAUUACACGGACGUUUAAUGAUCUAAGCAGCCAUUCACAAUGAUGAGCUGGGGAAGAAAUGCAGGAAAAGAAGUUGCAGGUGGUGUUUGAUCCUUCUUGAAAGGAUGAGACACAUGUCCCCUCUUCAAUGGAGUAUCUGCAACUUCUGCUGCUGCUGUUGCACCUGCUGAAGUCUUCCCUUGCAUGUCUCCUUAUUCUGCAAGAUCUUGAGGAAGCCAGGCAUUGAUGAGGAGGUUUGCUUGAAACAGCCAGAUCUCCACGUUUUAGUGGCCUCUUAAAAUAAAUAAAUUAAACCUUCAUUUGUCUAAUCCAAAACAUAUGUUUCCCUAUAGGAAUUAUUUCUUUUCAGAAUUUAUCCUUCUUUUCUUAGCUCAAAGGGAAAAGCAAAUGUCACUCAAGCCCAAAAGGAUUUGCCCACAUCACAGAUCUAUUGUUGAAAGUACAUCAGAACUUCUCAAUGAUAAAAUGCCAGAAAUGGAGGCACUGAGAUGAAAUAUGGAUAUGCGAGUGUGGUUUUGUCUCUUUGUGCCUGUAGGUUUUUUCCAAUAAAUAAAAAUGUCAACAACAAAAAAGUAUGUGUUUGAUUGGAGAAAUACGUUCUUUUUAAACUUUUAAAGAAGCAGUAGUGCAUUUUAAGAUU